rnacentral:rRNA from 1 species
CCUACGGGAGGCAGCAGUGGGGAAUAUUGGACAAUGGGUGAAAGCCUGAUCCAGCCAUGCCGCGUGUGUGAAGAAGGCCUUCGGGUUGUAAAGCACUUUCAGUGGGGAAGAAAGCCUUGGGGCUAAUACCCUCGAGGAAGGACAUCACCCACAGAAGAAGCACCGGCUAACUCCGUGCCAGCAGCCGCGGUAAUACGGAGGGUGCGAGCGUUAAUCGGAAUUACUGGGCGUAAAGCGCGCGUAGGCGGUCUGAUAAGCCGGUUGUGAAAGCCCCGGGCUCAACCUGGGAACGGCAUCCGGAACUGUCAGGCUAGAGUGCAGGAGAGGAAGGUAGAAUUCCCGGUGUAGCGGUGAAAUGCGUAGAGAUCGGGAGGAAUACCAGUGGCGAAGGCGGCCUUCUGGACUGACACUGACGCUGAGGUGCGAAAGCGUGGGUAGCAAACAGGAUUAGAUACCCCGGUAGUC